UGGAGGUCCCUGGGUGGCUGGGGAAGCUGUGUGAGGACAUCGAUUCUGAAGUGAAUGACAACUCACAGAAAAUGCCAACUGCUCUUUGAUCAUUCUCUUACUGCUCAAAAAGGCUGUCCUGCUUCAUUUAACAAGAGAAGUCUGAAAUGCAUGAAGAAGAACACAGAACUUCAAAAUACAAGAAGCAAGAAAGUACAUAUCAAAACAAGAGGAUCAACAGGCUGCAUCUCUCAUGCAGAAGUGGAAAUGCUGAGGACAGCCAGAGAGACAGAGCCCUCCUGUGUUUGCAGUGUUUUUAUAAUCUGUAAUAAAAAUCUGUGCUGUGGUUUUGUCUCCCUUGAGUUUAUUCAGGUGGAGGUAUAAAACUGAUGAGUACUGAAGAAGGUCAAAGUUACAUAUUCAUUUUGUUUUCAAUAAUUGAUGAUGUUUCCUGUUUCUACUUACGUUAAUUGCUCU
ensembl:lncRNA